GCUCAGGAUGAACGCUGGCGGCGUGCUUAACACAUGCAAGUCGAACGGGAUCCCUGGCAGCUUGCUGCCGGGGUGAGAGUGGCGAACGGGUGAGUAAUGCGUGACCGACCUGCCCCAUGCACCGGAAUAGCUCCUGGAAACGGGUGGUAAUGCCGGAUGUUCCACAUGAGCGCAUGCGAGUGUGGGAAAGGCUUUUUGCGGCAUGGGAUGGGGUCGCGUCCUAUCAGCUUGUUGGUGGGGUAACGGCCUACCAAGGCGUUGACGGGUAGCCGGCCUGAGAGGGCGACCGGCCACAUUGGGACUGAGAUACGGCCCAGACUCCUACGGGAGGCAGCAGUGGGGAAUAUUGCACAAUGGGCGCAAGCCUGAUGCAGCGACGCCGCGUGCGGGAUGGAGGCCUUCGGGUUGUAAACCGCUUUUGUUCAAGGGCAAGGCACGGUCUUUGGCCGUGUUGAGUGGAUUGUUCGAAUAAGCACCGGCUAACUACGUGCCAGCAGCCGCGGUAAUACGUAGGGUGCAAGCGUUAUCCGGAUUUAUUGGGCGUAAAGGGCUCGUAGGCGGUUCGUCGCGUCCGGUGUGAAAGUCCAUCGCUUAACGGUGGAUCCGCGCCGGGUACGGGCGGGCUUGAGUGCGGUAGGGGAGACUGGAAUUCCCGGUGUAACGGUGGAAUGUGUAGAUAUCGGGAAGAACACCAAUGGCGAAGGCAGGUCUCUGGGCCGUUACUGACGCUGAGGAGCGAAAGCGUGGGGAGCGAACAGGAUUAGAUACCCUGGUAGUCCACGCCGUAAACGGUGGAUGCUGGAUGUGGGGCCCUUUUUCC
rnacentral:rRNA from 1 species